rnacentral:rRNA from 1 species
CAGCAGCCGCGGUAACACCGGCGGCCCGAGUGGUGAUCGUGAUUAUGGGUCUAAAGGGUCCGUAGCCGGUUGGUCAGUCCUCCGGGAAAUCUGAUAGCUCAACUAUUAGGCUUUCGGGGGAUACUGCCAGACUGGAACCGGGAGAGGUAAGAGGUACUACAGGGGUAGGAGUGAAAUCUUGUAAUCCCUGUGGGACCACCUGUGGCGAAGGCGUCUUACCAGAACGGGUUCGACGGUGAGGGACGAAAGCUGGGGGCACGAACCGGAUUAGAUACCCGGGUAGUCCCAGCCGUAAACGAUGCUCGCUAGGUGUCAGGCAUGGCGCGACCGUGUCUGGUGCCGCAGGGAAGCCGUGAAGCGAGCCACCUGGGAAGUACGGCCGCAAGGCUGAAACUUAAAGGAAUUGGCGGGGGAGCACAACAACGGGUGGAGCCCUGCGGUUUAAUUGGACUCAACGCCGGACAACUCACCGGGGGCGACAGCAAUAUGUAGGCCAAGCUGAAGACUUUGCCUGAAUCGCUGAGAGGUGGUGCAUGG